rnacentral:lncRNA from 1 species
AUAAGAUUGUAUAUCAUAUUAUUUCCAAUCUACAAGUGUAAUUUUUGUUCAUGCACAUGGUAAAUAUUUUUGAGUACCUGUAAAUGUCCAGCAGAGAUAACUGCAGGGAUGAUUAGGACAUAACUCCUUCAAGAGCUUUAUACUGCAGUCAAAAAUGUAGUUAAAGGGACUGGAGGUGUAGCUGUGGUAGAGUACUUGUCCAGCACGUGAGAGGUCCUGGGCUCCAUCCCCAGACUGGAAAACAAACAAGCAAACAAAAAAAGAAAUGUAGUUAUCAAAAAAUAAGCAUAAUGUGAUGUGAAGAGUGAUAAGAAUGAUGUGGGAAAAGACACAUAGAAAUCAAAAUAACAUGUGAAGAAAGUGAAAUUAGAGAGAACAAGGCACUAUUUAUUUCUCUGUGGUGAGAACAUUCAAAAGUCACUCUUCUAGCUAAUUCUUAAACAUAAAAUAGCUAAUUGGUAACUGAGUCACCCUGUUGUGCUGUGGAAUGCCAGAAAUGACAAGUACAUGAAGUGAUAACUAUGCUAACUACACUUAUUGAUUAUAUUAAUCAAUAUACAUUAGAACAUUAAAUUCUUCUCCAGAAAUAAGCACAAUUAUAAAGUGUAAAUCAAAAUUUUAAAAAUUAAGAAUGAAAAAAAAUUAGGCUUAGAUUGAGACCCACUAAGGGUAGUCACUAAAAAUUCCAAUCUUGUUUCCGAUGUAGCUUCUAGUUUUUCCAUAUGUACAGGGUUCAUUUCCUUGUCCUUUAAAUACAUGUAACAUCAGAGCACAGUCUGUCCCUUUGAUUUGUCAGUUUCACAUUGAAGUCACAUGAUCACUCUUUCUUGAAUAUUCUAUUUCUGACCUAUUCUUGGAAGAAAAAAAUUCACUAAUUAUAUAAAUCAUAUGACUCCCAAACACUAAAUAUACCAGAAUAAAAUGCACAUACAGAUUUAGCCAUCUCCACAUAGAAUGACAAACACACAUGCAUGCAUGCUCAUACACACAUGCUUGCAUAUUUGUGGAUAUGUUUCAGGAUUUUAUGAUCUAUUUUAAUUUCUUUACCAACUAAAAUUGUAUCUAUAGUCGUCCUUUG